CGCCGCUGCUGCCUACCCCGCCUCCUACCGGUGCGCUACCACUCCCGCCUCCUUCCGGCGCGCCGUCAUCCCCGCCUCCUACCGGCGCGCCGCCGGACCCUCCUUCUUCCCUGGAGCGCCGCCACCCCGCUGCCCUCGCCAUCUUCCCGAGCGCGCCGCUGCCGCCGUCUUCCCCAUAGCGCCACCGCCCCGCCACCCCCGCCCAUGGGACCAGUGGUCCCAUCGCCGGUCUCCCCCACCCAGAUCUGCCGGAGGCGCACCGGAUCCUGCCUCACGGCCGGUUCCCGCGACUCGGCCGCCGCCCCAACCGCUGGAGCAGCCGAACACCUCCACUAGGUGCCCCGGCGGUUCGGACCCCCACCUGGCCCCUCCCUCGAACCCCGCGAGCCUCCGCCCCGACCUACUUCCCGCGCGAGGUCGCCUCCGCCUCCUCCUGGCGCAUCGCCGCCCCCACCAUCUCCACCUCCGCCUCCGCCGAUGCCUCCUUCUCCACCUCCGUUCGCAAGCGAUGGCGGCCGCGGUCUUCACCCCCAGCCACCAUGGCUGCAGAUCCACCCACGGCCGGUCGUCUAAGCUUCAAGCAUGGAUGGAUGGAUUCAGGAAGGUAUCCAUCCUCCCUGGGUGGAGCGAGCUGCAGAUCCCGUCCGGCCCUCCGGAACCGGCCAUCUCCGCCUCCUCCUCGCCGCCGCCGCUGGGGAUCACGUCUUCACCAAACGCGAGCUCCGCCCCAUCCGACCGACCGCAAAGGGAGAUAGGACAUGGCGGAAACAAAACUGCACGGCGAUGUGCAUUUCUGCAACACAUCAGGUCUACAUUUUCCAUUGCCCUGGACUUAUGAACGGAAGAAAAAGCAACAUGAAGUUCCUGUCUGCAUCAAACUGCUUUCACUUAUGGGACAGACCCAGUGCAUAGAAGCUCCCACACAAGGUAGAUUAUCUUAUAGGACGGGCGAAAUGCAACAGAAGAAGCUCCUCCGCUGCUACUCGCCAAACUCCAAGCAAAAAGGACCUUCCACUUUCCUUGCUAAUGGCGAGCAACUCAAAGAUGUCUAAAAGGUUACGCUUAAUAUUUACCCUCCGUAUCUUAUUUACUUGACCAUUACAUGUAUAGAUGCUUUCAGAGAACAUGUAUAUAUAGCUGCAGAUCCUGCAUUUACUUGACCUCUUUCUCUGUCAGGUAAAUUACCAUGGUACUUAUCUAAUGCGAUUUGUAAAGUUUUACCAAUCUGGAGGAUAUUCAAUACCAAGAUUUAUGAUUUGGCAUAAGUGAGAUGACAUACAAGUGAGUUUAAGUCGUGAGAGUGAAAUAGCAACGGUUUAAUUAUCAUACCGUCGGCAACUGCACCUCAACUGCGGAAAAAGAAAUCUUGAAGAACCAAGACCACCACCAGCUGGAAGAAGAUUUCAUCCAGGAAAUUUAGUCCUAGGGACUUUGAUAUACAAUGAUACACCAAAGCAAGCAAAGAAGCCAAAAGAAGUUAAAUGUUUUUACCUGCUGCUGGCAUACGAUGAGCAGUUGCAGGUGUCAACCAUAGUAUUGUUAUAUGAAGUGAGAGUUGCAUGUGCUUAUCUGAGGGGCUGUUUGGAUGGUGACCAACACUAGCCUUACCAAAAAAUUGGUCACGCCCACGAUAUUUGGCUAGCGUUUGGUCUGGUACCAUUUUUGGCUCGCCAUCGUCGACUUGAGCGCGCCCGCGUACCGUUUUCGCCAACUCGCGGGCGAAACAGCGGCGCGGAAAUCAGCCGCCAAAAUAUUGGCUGCCAAAUCUGGCGCGAGCCAGCCACCGUGAUAUAAAAGGCACGAUUGAUUUUUCCCCACCUGUUCGCCACUUUCCCCAUCUCUCUUCUUAUCUCCACGCACAGAAGCGCUCUCGAUCCAAUCACCGGGCGGCCGCGUUCUGCGUCGGUGCCAGCUUCUCUGGCGGCCGGCGACCGGCGACGCUGCUCCACCUCUCGCCCUCCUCUCCCAGUCAAGCUACGCUCCAAGGUCAGCCACUGAAAUCCCCAUCCAACACUACUCCGAUCCCCUUUUCUAUGGUCUGAUUUGUGAGCUCAAAUCCCCAUCAUCCCCUUAUGGAUGUAUGUAUUGUACGGAGGUACUACUUGCUAGAUCUGAGAAUUGCUUGCUGAAUCCUCUUCCCUGUUUGCUGGAAGUAAAAUUGGAAUGGGACUCCCGUGCAUGUUGUUGGUUUGCUGCAAGUAAAAACAUAUGAGACUCUCAUCCAUAUUCUUUGUUUUUUUUGUGGGUGAUCCAUGUUCUUUAUUUGACGCAAGUCAAAUCACAUGAGAAUAAUGAUGUUAAUUAGUUAAUUAACCUGGUAUGGUUCUGAAAGUAGUAUGGUCUGUUCUUCCCUUUUUGUGCCAUAUGUAUGGUCUCUAUUUUUAGAACAUUAAGGUGGAUUUUUUGAAGUUGGAUAUACAUAGUUAACUACUGAGACAUGCUUCGAUUUUUUGUCCAUCAAGGUGUAUUUUUUUUACAAGUUGUGCAUCCUUGGUACUGGUUAGAAGCAGGUUUGCUUUCUGACACUAUUAAUCGUCAUAGUCCUAAAGUUGACUUGGAAGGCAAUUCUUUAAACAAGAAGCGCAAGCACGUGUCAUCUUCACCUUCCAAGAAGCCAACUAAGGGGAAAGCAAACAAGAAGGGCAAGAUAUCUAAUGAUGAUAUGGCAGCCAGUAUCAAGAAGCUAGCUGACUCUCUUGCAUCUCCUAUUGUUUCUGUGCAACCAAUGCCACCUACAGAUCCAUAUGCAAACCUUUGGAAGCGGAUAAAUGCCCUUACCAUACCAGCUAAGGAUAAACUUGAGAUUGUAGCAUAUCUAUCCAAGCCAGAUCAAGAUAUCUUUCGUAGUUACCUCAACUAUGCUGAUGAAACAAUUCUUGGACAGUGGGUCCUUAGCUUCUUCGAGCCUCGGUUUCAAGAAGAUGGUGGCAAUGGUGGAUCUGCAACUGCUCACUGAAUGGCCACAUGACUAGAUAGAGAUUGCGGCUUCCUUUUGUUUACCGCUAGGAGCAUGGGUAACAUACAUCAUGCAUAUUUUGUCUAUAUAGAGCAGGCUGGGUGCAUCAUAUUUUGUUUAUAUGGAGCAGACUUGGUGCUAGUCUGACUAGUAUGACUUACUUGGUCUGGUAAAGACUUGGUUACUAUGUGAAUUUUAUUUAGCCUCCUUGAUGAUUAAUCUGAUGUAUCGAACAAUAUGAGUUAUCUAAUGUAUUAGUUGAACCAUGUCAUUGUCAAUUUAUGAAAAUGCAUGCUUACAGUU